CCACCAGCCAUUGGAAUGGCCAACAGGGGACCUGCAUAUAGCCUGAGCUGAGAGGUGCAGCAGAAGAUUGAAAAGCAAUAUGACGCAGACCUGGAGCAGAUCCUGAUCCGUGGAUCACCACCCAGUGCCGAAAGGAUGUGGGCCGGCCCCAGCCUGAACGGGAGAACUUCCAGAACUGGCUCAAGGAUGGCACGGUGCUAUGUGAGCUCAUUAAUGCACUGUACCCCGAGGGGCAGGCCCCUGUAAAGAAGAUCCAGGCCUCCACCAUGGCCUUCAAGCAGAUGGAGCAGAUAUCUCAGAUCCUGCAGGCAGCUGAGCGCUAUGGCAUUAACACCACUGACAUCUUCCAAACCGUGGACCUCUGGGAAGGAACGAACAUGGCCUGUGUGUAGCAGACGCUGAUGAAUCUGGGUGGGCAGGCAGUAGCCCGGGAUGAUGGGCUCUUCUCUGGAGAUCCCAAUUGGUUCCCUAAGAAAUUCAAGGAGAAUCUUCAGAACUUCUCGGACAACCAGCUGCAAGAGGGCAGGAACAGGAUCGGGUUACAGAUGGGCACCAACCGCAGGGAGUCUCAGGCAGGUAUGACCAGCUAUGGGAUGCCACGCCAGAUCCUCUGAUCCCGCCCCAGGCCUUGCACCUGCCCUCCCACGAAUGGUUAAUAUAUAUGUAAAUAUAUAUUUUAGCAGUGACAUUCCCAGAGAGCCCCAGAGCUCUCAAGCUCCCUUCUGUUAGGGUGCGGGUUCAGCCUGUCCUGUCAC